CUGAGAUUGUGCCACUGCACUCCAGCUUGGGCAACAGAGUGAGACCCUGUCUCGAAAACAACAACAACAACAACAACAACAAAACUUGUAAAUCACUAACCUCAAGGCAAAAUCAACCUUAUAUUAACAAACUGGUUUCAAAAUCUCUGGAUUUUGCCUAAGGAAGAGCAGAGUAAUAGUAAUCACUUUGUUUCUCCUAGAAUUCAUUACCUAUCAAAGAAAAUGCGUAAACUCUAGAAGUAUUGCUUGCUCCUUUGCCACAAAGUGUACAUUCAAGAGUAAAUUGUUUAAAGCCAAAGGGCCUUGCGCCACGUCCUUAGCCUCAGCUUUCUACUUGCUAAAAUGGAAAUAACAACAGUACCUACCUUACAGACCUGGCGUGAGGAUUAAAUUAUACCAGCAAAGUGCCUGGCACCUAGAAUUUGCCUGAGUUCUGAUCAAUGCUAAAAACACCAUUUAACAGUGCCCUUUCCUGCCUGGGAAGCCCACAAAGAUUUCGCUUUUCACUUAUUACUCAUCAAACUGACUCUGGUUCACAGUGGAAAAGAGAAGAAAAGCUGAUGGAGAAAUGGCAGUGAAGAAGGAGAACAAAAUUCAGUCUAUAGACGUGAAGCCAACAGGGACCCUCAGGCCUGUGCAUCAGGAUGGUGGGCUGCCUAAGUCCUCUGGGGACAGCAGUGCCAGAAGGAGUAUUGGACACAGUGACCCGACUGUAUGAGAUGAGAAAAAACAAAAACAGGAGGUCCGCAGUACUGAUGAACUAAUCUGUCACUCACAAGCUCAGGUCUGCAAAAAAAAGAAACGAAGCACUAAACAUGGCCAUAAGAGAUGGAAAUGCAAGUCUUCAUUUCUAAAUGAUAAUCAAACCAACGAUCAGAAACUGAUUAACUGUGUAAUUGAAUUGAAUUGAAAAUCAUCCCAUGAAUAACAAUCCAUCCUACCUUCAAGGGGUUAGGAAGCUAACUACAGGUAAUUGCUAUCAGAAAUCUGAUUUGAUUUCCAAAAAUUGUGUGAAUGAACCAAGUUUCUUCAUCUUGAUAUACUAGGCAGGGAGUUUGUUCUUCCAAGUACUAGACUGCUUAAUUGCUUGCUUGGGGGAGGAGAAAUCCUAGGGGAAAGGCAUAUAUGAGCAAUUUCUACUCUGUGAAGCCAGCGCUGUGUCCUGAGCUGGAUCAUGGCCAGAAACAGAAAAGUCUACUCUUCCCUACAGUGGAAGCAACUGUGGAUAUUUCAUCCUAGGAGUGAAUGAAAAAACCUAAAGCUCAUACUUCAUGGGAAUCUUUCAAUAUUCUGACUGAAAACUGGUUAUUUGCUCCUCCAACCCAAAGCCAUCUAGGAACAGCACUCAGAACAGGAAAAAAAAAAGACAAAAAUAAUAAUUAUUCCAAAACGUAUUUGAGCAGAAACAAACACAAACAUUUGCAUUAUUAAAUGGGCUUGUUCACACCUGCUGAGUAGAUAUAAGACGAUAUUUAAGACAAGAGCUAAAAAAUAAACCAUCCCUUUCUGGUUUUGAGUGACAGCAGAGCAAUAAAAAUUAUUUUCACAUUCUUUUCCCUAUUGUUAGAAGUAAUCAUUUGAGUAAAUACACUUAUCUGUGCUGUAACUAUUGAAAUGAAUCCACUUCAAAUAUGUAUACCACCUUUCUUUUUUAUAUUUCUAGAUAUGGUUUCAAUAUAGACUUUCUGACUUUUAUGGUAUACAUAUAGGACAAUAUUCUAUUCUUCUUUCCUUUUAAAUACUUACUGUUUCAAUUUCAAAUAAAAAAUCAGCAUUCUAGUUUGUACAUUUUAGCACAGAAAUGUUUACAACCUUCAGCACAAUUGCUUUUGUAAUUUACUGACUUGGCAUUUUGAGGCGUUUUUAACAAAUUAUGAGAAAUAACACCUUCAGAAAGCAUGUGACUACUUUGAUGCAACUAUUUACAAUGUAUUCAUAAGAAGUCAUUAACCUGUAGAGUUCUUAGACAUGUGGAACCUUUAACAAUUAUACUAAAGAGUACAUACAAAAUACAGAGCUAUGUAAUAAUAACUAAUUUUAAAUCCUGACAAAUUAGAAGUUAAGCCUACUAUCUGUAAAAAUAUGUCCUGAUUCAUUUUUUUAAGUAUAUACCUGAGCCUUUAAAAAGUAUAUGCCUUUACAAUUGAUUUCCAAUAAACAAUACUGAAUAACAAACUACAAGUGACUUUCCUGAUUUUUUCACCAGAAAUAUAUAGAAAAAGGAAAUCCUAUUCUUAUUAGAGAUUGAAGUACAGUAAUUCUGCACGGUAUUAAGAACCAUAACUAUGCCAUACAGAAGACAGG
rnacentral:lncRNA from 1 species